UACGGAGGACCCAAGCGUUAUUCGGAUUUAUUGGGUUUAAAGGGUGCGUAGGCGGAUUAGUAAGUCAGAGGUGAAAUCCCACAGCUUAACUGUGGAACUGCCUUUGAUACUGCUAACCUUGAGUACAGAUGAUGUGGGCGGAAUAUGACAUGUAGCGGUGAAAUGCUUAGAUAUGUCAUAGAACACCGAUUGCGAAGGCAGCUCACAAAACUGUAACUGACGCUGAGGCACGAAAGCACGGGGAUCGAACAGG
rnacentral:rRNA from 1 species